GCCAGGCGUGGUUGGCGCGUGCCUGUAAUCCCAGCUACUCGGGAGGCUGAGGCAGGAGAAUCGCUUGAACCCGGGAGGCAGAGGUUGCAGUGAGCCGAGAUUGUGCCACUGCACUCCAGCCUGGGCAACAAAGCGAGACUCUGUCUCAA
ensembl:misc_RNA Metazoa_SRP Metazoan signal recognition particle RNA